rnacentral:misc_RNA from 1 species
GUGUACGUUACGCUUGAUUUCAAUAGAAACAUUUCUGUAUUUUUUGUACAAAUUUAUUAGCAUAACAAACUUUCUUUUCACGCAUACAUAUAUGAUGAAUACUUUUUAAUGUCUGCCAGACAUCUGUGCGUGCCGUUAAAAAAGUUAAGUUGACACAAAGCAAUUCAUCACACGCUAUCUCCAGAAGUUUUGUAAAGCACAUGUCAUAUCGGUGAAUAAAUUACACCGUUUUCGCGAUAUUGAGAACGAGAAGAAAACCUGUUCCGCGCCGCGGCUUCCCGUCAUCUCGCUACUUGACCACCGCGCGUUCUCACGGUAAGCCUGGACCAAUGAUGAUGGCUCUCGCAUGUGCUCUCUCGGCGAACAAGAAACUAGAUCCUGUAAAGAGGGGCGGCAGGUUUUCGAAAUCUAAAGACCGAAAUUCUGCAUCGCAAAUUGCACGCGUGCGGUAACCCGCGAGCUGGUUCCGCGUAUUUCAAGAGACGAAAAUCUGGGUCUGUCGGUCAGUAUCGGGGAUGCUGCGGUCCACGCAGCAUCCCUUCUGCUCGUAAAACAGUUUUUCUCCCGGGCGGGCAACUUGUCGAAAUUUACGAUCGUUGAAAUUACGACAGCACGGCGGCAUCCCUACGGAUCGUAAAACAUCUUUCUGACGUUCGAAGAUUCUCAACCGAGAGUCUCGGGGAGACCAGUCGUGCAUUAAAUUCAUCGUCGUCGUCAUCAUCAACAUCAUCAUGCAAUUUUUCAUCCCGUCGUCCAGGAGGGGUCAUACGAUUUGGCGACUUCUUCAGUCGACUUACAAUACACGCUAACUGAAGAAUCUCAUCGAUUAAACAUACGAUUUUUUCGUUACUGCUACUAAACAUGGCACAACGACUGGAGAACAGAGGAGGCCCGGAUAAUAGCGACGGGAGGAACCGGAAAGCAUAAACCCACGCAAAAGUGGAGGCCACUUCAAGCGUUUUCUGCGGCGGUCGCCGCGACCCUUCCGAAAAUUAUCCAGAACGACCUCGUAGUCGCCGCGGCCUUACCACCGAAGAAAUAACCACCGACUCGAGCGGGAAAAAAAUGUUUUCGCAACAAUGAGAUAUGGAUGCCGCAAAAAUAUACUUUCCCUGGUAAAUCGUGAAAAUGGGCUUGCAAGAAUUGUCUUUUUACGAAAGAAAACAAACGUACAUCUUUUGAUAACAUUUAUCAGUGGAAUUAAAUAGCAGCGCAUCAUGAUGCAUAAAAAAUCAUUCGAGGUUUAGAGAGAAAUAAAUAAAAUAAUUAAUUGGGUUCAAAAA